GAUGAACGCUGGCGGCGUGCCUAAUACAUGCAAGUCGAGCGAACAGACGAGGAGCUUGCUCCUCUGACGUUAGCGGCGGACGGGUGAGUAACACGUGGAUAACCUACCUAUAAGACUGGGAUAACUUCGGGAAACCGGAGCUAAUACCGGAUAAUAUAUUGAACCGCAUGGUUCAAUAGUGAAAGAUGGUUUUGCUGUCACUUAUAGAUGGAUCCGCGCCGCAUUAGCUAGUUGGUAAGGUAAAGGCUUACCAAGGCAACGAUGCGUAGCCGACCUGAGAGGGUGAUCGGCCACACUGGAACUGAGACACGGUCCAGACUCCUACGGGAGGCAGCAGUAGGGAAUCUUCCGCAAUGGGCGAAAGCCUGACGGAGCAACGCCGCGUGAGUGAUGAAGGUCUUCGGAUCGUAAAACUCUGUUAUUAGGGAAGAACAAAUGUGUAAGUAACUAUGCACGUCUUGACGGUACCUAAUCAGAAAGCCACGGCUAACUACGUG
rnacentral:rRNA from 1 species